rnacentral:rRNA from 1 species
UACCAGCUGGCUGCAACUGUUUAUUAAAAACACAGCACUGUGCAAACACGAAAGUGGACGUAUACGGUGUGACGCCUGCCCGGUGCCGGAAGGUUAAUUGAUGGGGUCAGCGCAAGCGAAGCUCCUGAUCGAAGCCCCGGUAAACGGCGGCCGUAACUAUAACGGUCCUAAGGUAGCGAAAUUCCUUGUCGGGUAAGUUCCGACCUGCACGAAUGGCGUAAUGAUGGCCAGGCUGUCUCCACCCGAGACUCAGUGAAAUUGAACUCGCUGUGAAGAUGCAGUGUACCCGCGGCAAGACGGAAAGACCCCGUGAACCUUUACUAUAGCUUGACACUGAACAUUGAGCCUUGAUGUGUAGGAUAGGUGGGAGGCUUUGAAGCGUGGACGCCAGUCUGCGUGGAGCCGACCUUGAAAUACCACCCUUUAAUGUUUGAUGUUCUAACGUGGACCCGUAAUCCGGGUUGCGGACAGUGUCUGGUGGGUAGUUUGACUGGGGCGGUCUCCUCCUAAAGAGUAACGGAGGAGCACGAAGGUUGGCUAAUCCUGGUCGGACAUCAGGAGGUUAGUGCAAUGGCAUAAGCCAGCUUGACUGCGAGCGUGACGGCGCGAGCAGGUGCGAAAGCAGGUCAUAGUGAUCCGGUGGUUCUGAAUGGAAGGGCCAUCGCUCAACGGAUAAAAGGUACUCCGGGGAUAACAGGCUGAUACCGCCCAAGAGUUCAUAUCGACGGCGGUGUUUGGCACCUCGAUGUCGGCUCAUCACAUCCUGGGGCUGAAGUAGGUCCCAAGGGUAUGGCUGUUCGCCAUUUAAAGUGGUACGCGAGCUGGGUUUAGAACGUCGUGAGACAGUUCGGUCCCUAUCUGCCGUGGGCGCUGGAAGACUGAGGGGGGCUGCUCCUAGUACGAGAGGACCGGAGUGGACGCAUCACUGGUGUUCGGGUUGUCAUGCCAAUGGCACUGCCCGGUAGCUAAAUGCGGAAAAGAUAAGUGCUGAAAGCAUCUAAGCACGAAACUUGCCCCGAGAUGAGUCUUCCCUGAGACUUUGAGUCUCCUGAAGGAACGUUAAAGACGAUGACGUUGAUAGGCCGGGUGUGUAAGCGCAGCGAUGCGUUGAGCUAACCGGUACUAAUGAACCGUGAGGCUUAACCUU